UACGUAGGGGGCAAGCGUUGUCCGGAAUCAUUGGGCGUAAAGAGCGUGUAGGCGGCUUCGUCAGUCCGUUGUGAAAGUCCAGGGCUCAACCCUGGAAUGCCGAUGGAUACUGCGGAGCUAGAGUCCGGAAGAGGCGAGUGGAAUUCCUGGUGUAGCGGUGAAAUGCGCAGAUAUCAGGAGGAACACCUAUGGCGAAGGCAGCUCGCUGGGACGGCACUGACGCUGAGACGCGAAAGCGUGGGGAGCAAACAGG
rnacentral:rRNA from 1 species